rnacentral:tRNA from 1 species
AGGGGAGUAGCUCAAUUGGUAGAGUAGUGGUCUCCAAAACCAUUGGUUGCGGGUUCAAGUCCUGUCUCCCCUGCCA